rnacentral:rRNA from 1 species
UCGCUCCUACCGAUUGAGUGAUCCGGUGAAUUAUUCGGACUAUUACAAUUGCUUUUGCUUUUGUUAUGGAAAGUUUUGUGAACCUUAUCACUUAGAGGAAGGAG